AUUGAACGCUGGCGGCAGGCCUAACACAUGCAAGUCGAGCGGUAGCACAGAGAGCUUGCUCUCGGGUGACGAGCGGCGGACGGGAGAGUAAUGUCUGGGAAACUGCCUGAUGGAGGGGGAUAACUACUGGAAACGGUAGCUAAUACCGCAUAACGUCGCAAGACCAAAGUGGGGGACCUUCGGGCCUCAUGCCAUCAGAUGUGCCCAGAUGGGAUUAGCUGGUAGGUGGGGCAACGGCUCACCUAGGCGACGAUCCCUAGCUGGUCUGAGAGGAUGACCAGCCACACUGGAACUGAGACACGGUCCAGACUCCUACGGGAGGCAGCAGUGGGGAAUAUUGCACAAUGGGCGCAAGCCUGAUGCAGCCAUGCGGCGUGUGUGAAGAAGGCCUUCGGGUUGUAAAGCACUUUCAGCGGGGAGGAAGGCAUUAAGGUUAAUAACCUUAGUGAUUGACGUUACCCGCAGAAGAAGCACCGGCUAACUCCGUGCCAGCAGCCGCCGUAA
rnacentral:rRNA from 1 species